rnacentral:rRNA from 1 species
GAUGAACGCUGGCGGCGUGCCUAAUACAUGCAAGUCGAGCGAACGGACGAGAAGCUUGCUUCUCUGAUGUUAGCGGCGGACGGGUGAGUAACACGUGGAUAACCUACCUAUAAUACUGGGAUAACUUCGGGAAACCGGAGCUAAUACCGGCUAAUAUUUUGAACCGCAUGGUUCAAAAGUGAAAGACGGUCUUGCUGUCACUUAUAGAUGGAUCCGCGCUGCAUUAGCUAGUUGGUAAGGUAACGGCUUACCAAGGCAACGAUGCAUAGCCGACCUGAGAGGAUGAUCGGCCACACUGGAACUGAGACACGGUCCAGACUCCUACGGGAGGCAGCAGUAGGGAAUCUUCCGCAAUGGGCGAAAGCCUGACGGAGCAACACCGCGUGAGUGAUGAAGGUCUUCGGAUCGUAAAACUCUGUUAUUAGGGAAGAACAUAUGUGUAAGUAACUGUGCACAUCUUGACGGUACCUAAUCAGAAAGCCACGGCUAACUACGUG